CUACCAUGGCAGUCACGGGUAACGGGGAAUUAGGGCUCGAUUCCGGAGAGGGAGCCUGAGAAACGGCUACCACUUCUAAGGAAGGCAGCAGGCGCGUAAAUUACCCAAUCCCGAUUCGGGGAGGUAGUGACAAGAAAUAACAACUCGGGUCCUUCGGGAUUACGAGAUUGCAAUGAGGACAAUUUAGACCACUUAUCGAGGAACAAUUGGAGGGCAAGUCUGGUGCCAGCAGCCGCGGUAAUUCCAGCUCCAAUAGCGUAUAUUAAAGUUGUUGCAGUUAAAAAGCUCGUAGUUGAACUUCUGACUGUUUCGAAAGCAGGCUUUUGUCGCUUUCGUGACAGUCAUCCGCUUGGGAACUCCGUUCGAACUUCAUUGUUUGGCGGAAGGAACAGGCAUUUUACUUUGAAAAAAUUAGAGUGUUCAAGGCAGGCUAUAGCCCUGAAUACACAAGCAUGGAAUAAUGAAAUAGGACUGGUUCCAUUUUAUUGGUUAUUGGACUAGUAAUGAUUAAUAGGGACAGUUGGGGGCAUUAGUAUUUAAUUGUCAGAGGUGAAAUUCUUGGAUUAAUUAAAGACUAACUUAUGCGAAAGCAUUUGCCAAGGAUGUUUUCAUUAAUCAA
rnacentral:rRNA from 1 species